AUGAUGCCCAGCCUCACACGGCGGAAGUGGACGCCAGCCUCACUCGGCGGAAGUGGACGCCAGCCUCACUCGGCGGAAGUGGACGCCAGCCUCACUCGGCGGAAGUGGACGCCAGCCUCACACGGCGGAAGUGGACGCCAGCCUCACACGGCGGAAGUGGACCACAGCCUCACACGGCGGAAGUGGACGCCAGCCUCACUCGGCGGAAGUGGACCACAGCCUCACUCGGCGGAACUGGACGCCAGCCUCGCACGGCGGAAGCAGAUUGUCCUCACUCUUUAUCUUCCUGACAUCCUUGGAUGGCUCAGGGAAGCAGAGCACACCGCACCCUGGAGGAAUGAGACCACUGCAGAUCCCAAGAGCAGGAAAAGCUGGAGACCAGCGACACCCACUGCCCAGACCGUGCGAGGACCGCGAGUGUCCCAGGCAAAGGACCUCAGAACUGGGGCUCGUGGGGACAGUGUGGAUGAUGAACGGAGGUGGCUGAAGGAAAGCACACUGAACAGGAAUAAAAGACAGACAGCCUUGUUUCCUGGAGGCCAGGCUUUCCUCGUCACAGGGGCACUGGGGGUGUCAGACACUGCACUGGCUUGUGACGGCGUAUCACUGGCCCUGCGGGGUGGGCUGAAAAAGCAAGUGAGUUCAUAGAGACCUCAAAGGGAAGCAAAGGGAAAGACGCAGAAAGACUCCCAGUUGUGCAGGGGACAAACUUGCCUCUUGGGAUUUCCCUGGUCACCUCUCCCAUAGUACCUGAUUCCUGCCUCUGUGAAAGAAACCUGAUGUCAGCCUCUGUGGCUGAACCCAUGGCUGGGGUCACCCAAAAGUGGGGGCAGGGAAGUUCCUGCAAGAGACUGUCCUAAAUGAUUCUGGGAUGGGGCAAGUUGGGAUUCCAAAGAAAGAAGUACUAAAAUGCCAAGGUGAUUAGUUAAAAGUAUUUGCCGUAUCAGGUGAACUGUAUAUCAUAGGGGGCUGCAGAGCAUCCUCCCGAAGGAUGGUGAGACAAGGGAUGUCCUAUCUAGGUGUGUCUGCAAUGAGGUCAGGGCAUGGAGUCUGUAUGAGGGUUUAAGGAGUUUGACUCAGACUGGGGCUAGUCUCUUUCAGUGUUUUGGGCAAAAACCUAAACCCCUUUAUCAGUGCCUGGAAAUGUUCAAGGGCCCCACGUGGGUUCAAGCCUGCAGGAGAAAACGUGCAUCUGGCUGGGAGGGCUGUGCAGGUGCUCUGUUUCCCAGUAGGACCAGAGAAAAAGUGGGAGGAGUUGGAGGACCCUACAGUAGUGUUUGUUUUACUCCAGGUACUGGUUGAGGCACCUUGUAUGUGUAUUAAGUCAUUCUUUCAUCACAAGAACCCUAUGAGUAUACACUACUAUCAUCCCUAUUUUAUAGACGGAGAAAUGGAAACAGAGAGGUUAAGACUCUCAUCCAAAUCCAUGCAACUAGUGAGUGGCAGAACUGGGAUUCAGAUCCAAGCAGCUGGCUCAACGUCCACACUUGUAAUCACUGAGGUGAUUCAUACCUUCUAUUGAAAUGUGCCUUUUUCCUCACAGACUCAGACUGUGGAUUCUUUUUUUUUUUUUUUUUUUUUUUGAGAUGGAGUCUCACCCUGUUACCCAAGCUGGAGUGCAAUGGUGUGGUCUCAGCUCACUGCAACC
rnacentral:lncRNA from 13 species